CGUUCUUCUCUCCAGUGCCCCUCUGCAUUCCGCCUACUUCCUCAGCCUGAGCUCGCUUUUCCUCUCGAUCCAACAACUGCAAGGCCAGCCCACCUUCCGGGCCCACCGCAAAGACUGCCUCCUCUGAGAAGUCCUCCCCGAUUCCCCUCCUCUCUGUGUCUCACAGUUGGCUCACUCUUGUUCUUGGUUAUUUCGAUCUGGAUCCAUGUCCCUCUUCUCUUUACCGAGUGGGCUUGAGGGCAGAGAUCCUAGCUUGCUGCUAUUGUGACCCCACGGCCAUCAGUAAGCCUCGGGGGCUAGGAGGUGCUUCAUCACGUUCCUGGUAAGCAAGAAAUAAGGUUUCCUAAUCAUCUCGAAGGUCCUGACAGCGCCUGCAGGUCAAAGGUCCUGAUGAAAGGGGAGCAGGGCUGUUGCUUCCCAAAGCACCAAUCCUCCGUGGUGCAGAGCUCGCACCCGUGGCUUCCGUCCUUUCCCCGCUUCUCAUCUGACUGUUUGGCCUGUCACCUCGGCACACUUCCAUCAUCGCUGGCCUGGGGCCCAUCCCCUCCGCCUCCUGAACAGCUGACCUUGCCUCACCAGAUGUUUACUUUGCCUCUGGGGUUGAGGAGUCUGAACACGGCUUUUGCAACAUGAAGCCCCAGGCGGCUGUGUGACCUUGGCAUGCUGCUUCGCCGCUCCAAGCCUUGCCCUUCCCUUCAGGUGAGGGUCACCUGACUCCUGGCGCUGCCCUGAAGAUCAGAUGAGCUAUGGUGUGAGAUGGGCCGAGCGCGGUGACCUGACACACGCGCUUACAGAAAUAGAAAGGAGGAAUAAACCCGGCUUUAGUGGCUUGCUUCUCCAGGUUGCCAAAACCUGCUCCUGGACCUGUGCUCCCCAUUUCUCUGUUUGCUACAACCUACUCCAUUCUGUGUCACCCCAAACUAUACAUAUGUGUUCAGUUACAAGGCUCACCGAUGCUUCCGUGACAUCAGCCGUCAGACACCCACAACCCGUAUUAUUAGGCCCUUGAGAAAUAUCUCCAAAAGGGAUGGAUGCCUGUACUUCAUGGAAUUGAAGAUUCAUGUCCUCCCAUUCUCCUUGAAACAUACUCCAAAGUGAUGUUUGCGUCUGCCAUUCCUCUAGGACUGCUGCAAGUGACGUUUCUGUGGCCACAUUCAAUGACCACCUCUCAGUCCUUAUUCCACUUGACCCAUUAGGAGCAUUAGACCAACGGUCUUCUCUUUGUUUUGCAAAGCUUUCUUCCCUUGGCUUCCUAGACUCUAUACUCUCCAAGCUGUCCUCCCAGCUCUCUGGCGCCCCCUUCCCAGUCUCCUGCUUAAUUCCUGCUCAGAUCACAACUCCUAAAUGUUGGGGUGCCCCAGGGCUCAGUCCUCAGGAUGUUUCUCUUCUCCAGCUCCACUCCCUUGGUGAUAUCAAUUAGUGUCACGACUUUAAAUACUAACCAUAUGCAGUGACCCCUGGAUCUACAUUUGCAACUCAGACUUGUCCUUUGACCUCCAGACUCGUGCAUCUGAGCUCCGAAUCAAUGAUCUUCCCUUGAGCGUUUAACGGACAUCUCAGAUUAACGUGCAUCCAAAAGAAACUCUUGAUCUUCUCCCCAAACGUGCUUCUCAUUCCAACUUCUCCCAAAUAAUAAUAGCUGUCACAUACACAGGGCAUAUUCUGUGUUUUGCCGUUCAAAGUGCUUUAUAUUAGAGAAUUAAGAAAAACAAACAAUCCAAUUAAAUAAAAAAUGGACAGAGGCGCUAAGAAGACA
rnacentral:lncRNA from 1 species